rnacentral:lncRNA from 1 species
UGAUAAUCGCAUAAAAUAUACUAACUAAAUUUGUAGAGUUAAGCAAUGCAUUCAGAUUUUUAAAGUCAAAUUACCAUUGACUGACUCAAAUCUAAUAUAUAGAAAAAUUGGAUAAUAAAAAUAAAAUUUUGAAAGAUUGGAUUUACACUUUUCGUCCUUAGAAUUAUCAGACGAGUGACACUUUAAUCCUCGAACUUUAAUGUGUUAUGAUUUAAACUACGAAGCAUGUGACACUUUCGUCCUCAAACUUUAAUUAGUUGCAAUUUCUGACUUGAAAUAUGAGGUAUAUCAUUUUAGUUUUCAACGUUUAUUGCUGCUAUAAAUAUUAUUUAUUAU